rnacentral:rRNA from 1 species
GAUGAACGCUGGCGGCGUGCCUAAUACAUGCAAGUCGAGCGAACAGAUGAGGAGCUUGCUCCUCUGACGUUAGCGGCGGACGGGUGAGUAACACGUGGAUAACCUACCUAUAAGACUGGGAUAACUUCGGGAAACCGGAGCUAAUACCGGAUAAUAUAUUGAACCGCAUGGUUCAAUAGUGAAAGACGGUUUUGCUGUCACUUAUAGAUGGAUCCGCGCCGCAUUAGCUAGUUGGUAAGGUAACGGCUUACCAAGGCGACGAUGCGUAGCCGACCUGAGAGGGUGAUCGGCCACACUGGAACUGAGACACGGUCCAGACUCCUACGGGAGGCAGCAGUAGGGAAUCUUCCGCAAUGGGCGAAAGCCUGACGGAGCAACGCCGCGUGAGUGAUGAAGGUCUUCAGAUCGUAAAACUCUGUUAUUAGGGAAGAACAAAUGUGUAAGUAACUAUGCACGUCUUGACGGUACCUAAUCAGAAAGCCACGGCUAACUACGUG